GAAUUCCACCUAUUAAAAUUUCCUGAGUCCUACAAUGCAGAGAAGAUUAGCAUGGCCCCUGUGCAAGGAUAACAUGCAAAUUCGUGAAGCGUUCCAUAUUUUU
ensembl:snRNA U6 U6 spliceosomal RNA